AAUGAAUGGAGGGCGGCGGCGACUGCUGCAGCUGGGCCAGCUGCGCGGGCUGCACCCCCUCCCAGCCUGCGAGAGGAGGAAGCUAGUAGAAGAUCUCUACCAACAAAACCAAGGAGUAAACAACUUGAGAAUAACUGCAUGAGCUCAGGGCUUGGACUGUCAGAUUCUAUUUCUAAGCGUCCAGAAGAGCAACACACAGACAUAGGGGAAGUGAGCCUUUGAUCUCCAAUGCCAUCCCCGUUAGCCACCUCCACCACCAGCACAACCACUGAAUGGCACUUUGGACAAUUUUUCCCUCUUAUGUGAUUUUGUCAUUUCUUAUGUCAAUUGGAGCCAGCAGCUCUCAAAUCCAUCUUCUAAAAUCCAGAAGUUUGUGGCACACUUGAUGACUGAAGGGGAGUCAGCUGACCAGGUAAAGGACUGCCACUGGAUUGGAAGGCUGUGGGAGGGCGAGGGGAUGGUGGACAUCUACUGGGAAGAGCUGAAAGAUGGAGUUACCA